ACCUGGCUGGCUCAGUCGGUAGAGCAUGCAACUCUUAAUCUCAGAGUCGUGAGUUCAAGCCCCACAUCAGGCA
rnacentral:tRNA from 1 species